GAUGGACGCUGGCGGCGUGCCUAAUACAUGCGAGUCGAGCGAACAGAUGAGGAGCUUGCUCCUCUGACGUUAGCGGCGGACGGGUGAGUAACACGUGGAUAACCUACCUAUAAGACUGGGAUAACUUCGGGAAACCGGAGCUAAUACCGGAUAAUAUAUUGAACCGCAUGGUUCAAUAGUGAAAGACGGUUUUGCUGUCACUUAUAGAUGGAUCCGCGCCGCAUUAGCUAGUUGGUAAGGUAACGGCUUACCAAGGCAACGAUGCGUAGCCGACCUGAGAGGGUGAUCGGCCACACUGGAACUGAGACACGGUCCAGACUCCUACGGGAGGCAGCAGUAGGGAAUCUUCCGCAAUGGGCGAAAGCCUGACGGAGCAACGCCGCGUGAGUGAUGAAGGUCUUCGGAUCGUAAAACUCUGUUAUUAGGGAAGAACAAAUGUGUAAGUAACUAUGCACGUCUUGACGGUACCUAAUCAGAAAGCCACGGCUAACUACGUG
rnacentral:rRNA from 1 species